UCCGAGUUGACCCCGGCAGUCUCCUGCGAGUCCCCGCCAUUACGCGCUGGCAACACAGGACAAGGGUUGCGCUCGUUGCGGGACUUAACCCCACAUCUCUGCAGGAUUUCCCGGCAUGUCAAACCCAGGUAAGGUUCUUCGCGUCGCUUCGAAUUAAGCAACAUGCUCCGCCGCUUGUGCGGGCCCCCGUCAAUUCCUUUGAGUUUUAGCCUUGCGGCCGUACUCCCCAGGCGGGGCGCUUAAUGCGUUAGCUACGGCACGGAAAACAAUGAAGCUCCCCACACCUAGCGCCCAACGUUUACGGCGUGGACUAC
rnacentral:misc_RNA from 1 species